AGAAUUUGAUCUUGGUUCAGAUUGAACGCUGGCGGCGUGGAUGAGGCAUGCAAGUCGAACGAGAAACUUUUAAGCUUGCUUAAAGGUUUCUAGUGGCGAAAGGGUUAGUAAUACAUGGGUAAUCUACUUCUAACUUGGGAAUAACGAUUGGAAACGAUCGCUAAUACCGAAUGUCGUGAAGGGAAGACAUCUUCCUUUUAUGAAAGCGGGGGACCGUAAGGCCUCGCGGUUGGAAAAGAGCCCAUGCGAUAUCAGCUUGUUGGUGAGGUAAAAGCUCACCAAGGCUAAGACGUCUAGGCGGGUUGAGAGAUUGACCGCCAACACUGGGACUGAGACACUGCCCAGACUCCUACGGGAGGCUGCAGUCGAGAAUCAUUCGCAAUGGGCGAAAGCCUGACGAUGCGACGCCGCGUGAGCGAAGAAGGCCUUUGGGUUGUAAAGCUCUUUCGCCUGGGAACAAGAGAUACGGAGUAAUAUUCCGUAAAUUUGAGGGUACCAGGUAAAGAAGCGCCGGCUAACUCCGUGCCAGCAGCUGCGGUAAUACGGAGGGCGCAAGCGUUAAUCGGAUUCAUUGGGCGUAAAGGGGGCGUAGACGGGGUUGUAAGUCGGAUGUGAAAGCCUGUAGCUUAACUACAGAAUUGCAUCCGAAACUACUUCUCUUGAGGGUAGGCGGAGAAAACGGAAUUCCAUGUGUAGCGGUGAAAUGCGUAGAUAUAUGGAGGAACACCCGUGGCGAAAGCAGUUUUCUAGCUUACUCCUGACGUUGAGGCCCGAAGGCUAGGGGAGCAAACAGGAUUAGAUACCCUGGUAGUCCUAGCAGUAAACGAUGCAUACUUGGUGUAGAUGGUUUCAAUCCCAUUUGUGCCGUAGCUAACGCGUUAAGUAUGCCGCCUGAGGAGUACGCUCGCAAGGGUGAAACUCAAAAGAAUUGACGGGGACCCGCACAAGCAGUGGAGCAUGUGGUUUAAUUCGAUGCAACGCGAAGAACCUUACCCAGGCUUGACAUACAGUGGACCGCUUCAGAGAUGAAGCUUUCUUAUGACCGCUGUACAGGUGCUGCAUGGCUGUCGUCAGCUCGUGCCGUGAGGUGUUGGGUUAAGUCCCGCAACGAGCGCAACCCUUAUCGUUAGUUGCCAACAGGUAAUGCUGGGAACUCUGACGAGACUGCCUAGGUUAACUAGGAGGAAGGUGAGGAUGACGUCAUGUCAGCAUGGCCCUUAUGUCUGGGGCUACACACGUGCUACAAUGGCUGGUACAAUAGGCAGCGAAGCCGCGAGGUGGAGCAAAUCCAAAAACCAGUCUUAGUUCGGAUUGGAGUCUGCAACUCGACUCCAUGAAGCCGGAAUUGCUAGUAAUGGCGCGUCAGCAAUAGCGCCGUGAAUACGUUCCCGGGUCUUGUACACACCGCCCGUCACAUCAUGGAAGUUGGUUUUACCCGAAGUCACUUACUCGACCGUAAGGAGAGAGGUGCCGAAGGUAAGGCUGAUGACUGGGAUGAAGUCGGAACAAGGUA
rnacentral:rRNA from 1 species